rnacentral:rRNA from 1 species
GACGAACGCUGGCGGCGUGCCUAAUACAUGCAAGUCGAACGCUGAAGGAGGAGCUUGCUUCUCUGGAUGAGUUGCGAACGGGUGAGUAACGCGUAGGUAACCUGCCUGGUAGCGGGGGAUAACUAUUGGAAACGAUAGCUAAUACCGCAUAAGAGUAGAUGUCGCAUGACAUUUGCUUAAAAGGUGCAAUUGCAUCACUACCAGAUGGACCUGCGUUGUAUUAGCUAGUUGGUGAGGUAACGGCUCACCAAGGCAACGAUACAUAGCCGACCUGAGAGGGUGAUCGGCCACACUGGGACUGAGACACGGCCCAGACUCCUACGGGAGGCAGCAGUAGGGAAUCUUCGGCAAUGGACGGAAGUCUGACCGAGCAACGCCGCGUGAGUGAAGAAGGUUUUCGGAUCGUAAAGCUCGGUUGUAAGAGAAGAACGAGUGUGAGAGUGGAAAGUUCACACUGUGACGGUAUCUUACCAGAAAGGGACGGCUAACUACGUG